rnacentral:rRNA from 1 species
GACGAACGCUGGCGGCGUGCUUAACACAUGCAAGUCGAACGGAAAGGCCCUGCUUUUGUGGGGUGCUCGAGUGGCGAACGGGUGAGUAACACGUGAGUAACCUGCCCUUGACUUUGGGAUAACUUCAGGAAACUGGGGCUAAUACCGGAUAGGAGCUCCUGCUGCAUGGUGGGGGUUGGAAAGUUUCGGCGGUUGGCGAUGGACUCGCGGCUUAUCAGCUUGUUGGUGGGGUAGUUGCUUACCAAGGCUUUGACGGGUAGCCGGCCUGAGAGGGUGACCGGCCACAUUGGGACUGAGAUACGGCCCAGACUCCUACGGGAGGCAGCAGUGGGGAAUAUUGCACAAUGGGCGGAAGCCUGAGGCAGCAACGCCGCGUGCGGGAUGACGGCCUUCGGGUUGUAAACCGCUUUCGCCUGUGACGAAGCGUGAGUGACGGUAAUGGGUAAAGAAGCACCGGCUAACUACGUG